UGGGUUAGCUAGCGGGAGCUACACAUGCAAGCCGAGCGGUAUGAUUCUUUCGGGAAUCAGAGAGCGGCGUACGGGUGCGGAACACGUGUGCAACCUGCCUUUAUCUGGGGGAUAGCCUUUCGAAAGGAAGAUUAAUACCCCAUAAUAUAUUGAGUGGCAUCACUUAAUAUUGAAAACUCCGGUGGAUAGAGAUGGGCACGCGCAAGAUUAGAUAGUUGGUGGGGUAACGGCCUACCAAGUCGAUGAUCUUUAGGGGGCCUGAGAGGGUGAUCCCCCACACUGGUACUGAGACACGGACCAGACUCCUACGGGAGGCAGCAGUGAGGAAUAUUGGACAAUGGGUGCAAGCCUGAUCCAGCCAUCCCGCGUGAAGGACGACGGCCCUAUGGGUUGUAAACUUCUUUUGUACAGGGAUAAACCUAGAUACGUGUAUCUAGCUGAAGGUACUGUACGAAUUUGCACCGGCUAACUCCGUGCCAGCAGCCGCGGUAAUACGGAGGGUGCAAGCGUUAUCCGGAUUUAUUGGGUUUAAAGGGUCCGUAGGCGGAUCAGUAAGUCAGUGGUGAAAUCUCAUAGCUUAACUAUGAAACUGCCAUUGAUACUGCUGGUCUUGAGUAAGGUAGAAGUAGCUGGAAUAAGUAGUGUAGCGGUGAAAUGCAUAGAUAUUACUUAGAACACCAAUUGCGAAGGCAGGUUACUAUGUCUUAACUGACGCUGAUGGACGAAAGCGUGGGGAGCGAACAGGAUUAGAUACCCUGGUAGUCCACGCUGUAAACGAUGCUAACUCGUUUUUGGGUUUUCGGAUUCAGAGACUAAGCGAAAGUGAUAAGUUAGCCACCUGGGGGAGUACGAACGCAAGUUUGAAACUCAAAGGAAUUGACGGGGGCCCGCACAAGCGGUGGAUUAUGUGGUUUAAUUCGAUGAUACGCGAGGAACCUUACCAAGGCUUAAAUGGGAAUUGAUCGGUUUAGAAAUAGACCUUCCUUCGGGCAAUUUUCAAGGUGCUGCAUGGUUGUCGUCAGCUCGUGCCGUGAGGUGUUAGGUUAAGUCCUGCAACGAGCGCAACCCCUGUCACUAGUUGCCAUCAUUAAGUUGGGGACUCUAGUGAGACUGCCUACGCAAGUAGAGAGGAAGGUGGGGAUGACGUCAAAUCAUCACGGCCCUUACGCCUUGGGCCACACACGUAAUACAAUGGCCGGUACAGAGGGCAGCUACACAGCGAUGUGAUGCAAAUCUCGAAAGCCGGUCUCAGUUCGGAUUGGAGUCUGCAACUCGACUCUAUGAAGCUGGAAUCGCUAGUAAUCGCGCAUCAGCCAUGGCGCGGUGAAUACGUUCCCGGGCCUUGUACACACCGCCCGUCAAGCCAUGGAAGUCUGGGGUACCUGAAGUCGGUGACCGUAAAAGGAGCUGCCUAGGGUAAGACAGUAGUAAGAUCGA
rnacentral:rRNA from 1 species